GUUUUAAUACUGAUCAGAAUAUGACAGUACAGUAAUAGAUGGAAGAAGAGAGGUGUAAAUGUUUUAAUACUGAUCAGAAUAUGACAGUACAGUAAUAGAUGGAAGAAGAGAGGUGUAAAUGUUUUAAUACUGAUCAGAAUAUGACAGUACAUUUACAGUAAAUGAGGACAGUAAUAGGGGUUGUGUUCAGUAAAUAGAAAUGGGACUCAUUCAGUUGAAGAGGAAGCUGUUAUGACAACACACACACAGACCUUAACUGUGUAAAAUGUCAACUUCAAUGGGGUCGUAGCUGUUUUGAAGUGGUGUGUUUUUAGUGAAUCUCCUUUCUCUGUCAUCUCUGGUACAACACCCUCUGUGAGGUCAGAAACAUUCAGGGGAGAUGGAAAGAGAUCCUGUGAUGUGAUAUCCUCUUUUGUUACAGCCUGCUAGGUUACUGGUUGUCUACAAUGACGUCUCCUGUGUAAAUACACACCCUUGUUACGUUGCAGCCAGCAGCUUCAGGAAGUGAUACUGUGUAUUCAGUAUUCACAUUAUAAUAUGCACUAUUCUGUCAUUAUAAUAUCCACUAUUCUGUCAUUAUAAUAUGCACUAUUCUGUCAUUAUAAUAUCCACUAUUCUGUCAUUAUAAUAUCCACUAUUCUGUCAUUAUAAUAUGCACUAUUCUGUCAUUAUAAUAUCCACUAUUCUGUCAUUAUAAUAUCCACUAUUCUGUCAUUAUAAUAUCCACUAUUCUGUCAUUAUAAUACCCACUACAUUAUAAUAUCCACUAUUCUAUCAUUAUAAUAUCCACUCUUCUGUCAUUACAAUAUGCACUAUUCUGUCAUUAUAAUAUCCACUAUUCUAUCAUUAUAAUAUCCACUAUUCUGUCAUUAUAAUAUCCACUAUUCUGUCAUUAUAAUAUCCACUCUUCGGUCAUUAUAAUAUCCAUUAACCUGUCGUUAUAAUAUCUGCUAUUCUGUCAUUAUAAUAUCCACUAUUCUGUCAUUAUAAUAUCCACUACAUUAUAAUAUCCACUAUUCUAUCAUUAUAAUAUGCACUAUUCUGUCAUUAUAAUAUGCACUAUUCUGUCAUUAUAAUAUCCACUAUUCUAACUUGGCAUCUGAUUGUUUUUCCAAGUAGUUUUUCAUGCAACAGGCGUCACAAUUGGCCCAGCGUCGUCCGGGUUAGGAGACGGUUUGGCCCAGCGUCGUCCGGGUUAGGAGACGGUUUGUCCCAGCGUCGUCCGGGUUAGGAGACGGUUUGGCCCAGCGUCGUCCGGGUUAGGAGACGGUUUGGCCCAGCGUCGUCCGGGUUAGGAGACGGUUUGGCCCAGCGUCGUCCGGGUGAGGAGACGGUUUGGCCCAGCGUCGUCCGGGUGAGGAGACGGUUUGGCCCAGCGUCGUCCGGGUUAGGAGACGGUUUGGCAGGCACAGAUUUUCUUGUCCCAUUGCGCUCUAUCAACUACUGUGGCGUGCCGGGCACAUGCAUGCUAACACGGUCGCCAGGUGCACGUUGUUUCCUCUGACACAUUGGUGUGGCUGACUUCCCUGUUAUGUGGGCAGGAAGCAGUGUGGCUUGUGUCAAGAAGCAGUGUGGCUUGUGUCAAGAAGCAGUGUGGCUUGUGUCAAGAAGCAGUGUGGCUUGUGUCAAGAAGCAGUGUGGCUUGCCUCAAGAAGCAGUGUGGCUUGGCUGGGUUGUGUUUCGGAGGACGCAUGGCUCUCGACCUUCGCCUCUUCCAAGUCCGUACGGAAGUUGCAGCGAUGAGACAAGACUAUAACUACCAAUUGGAUACCAAGAAAUUGGGGAGAAAAAAGGUGUCUCCCAGGCCAGAUUGAUAUGCCCGGCGCGCCGGAAACGGCCCGUGGGCCGUACUUUGCCGCCCUCGACAGGUAACCAGUCCAUCCAACAGCAUCACCUAUAUGUUCUCUCCCAGACUGAUAGAGAGGAUGUCUGGAGUUUAUCAGAAGGUAACCAGUCCAUCCAACAGCAUCUCCUAUAUGUUCUCUCCCAGACUGAUAGAGAGGAUGUCUGGAGUAUAUCAUAAGGUAACCAGUCCAUCCAACAGCAUCUCCUAUAUGUUCUCUCCCAGACUCAUGGAUAGACAGUUUGGAGUGUAUCAGAAGGUAACCAGUCCAUCCAACAACAUCUCCUAUAUGUUCUCUCCCAGACUGAUAUACAGGAUGUCUGGAGUGUAUCAGAAGGUAACCAGUCCAUCCAACAGCAUCUCCUAUAUGUUCUCUCCCAGACUGAUACACUCCAGACAUCCUGUAUAUCAGAAGGUAACCAGUCCAUCCAACAGAGAGAGAGAGAGAGAGAGAGAGAGAGAGAGAGAGAGAGAGAGAGAGAGAGAGAGAGAGAGAGAGAGAGAGAGAGAGAGAGA
ensembl:lncRNA